AACAUCGCGCACCUGCGGGAACCUGCGGAAGGAUCAUUACAGAGUUGCAAAACUCCCUAAACCAUUGUGAACGUUACCUAAACCGUUGCUUCGGCGGGCGGCCCGGGUCCUUCCCGGCGCCCCUCGGCCCUCGCGGGCGCCCGCCGGAGGUAAACCAAACUAUUGCAUUGUAUGGCCUCUCUGAGUCUUCUGUACUGAAUAAGUCAAAACUUUCAGCAAUGGAUCUCAGAUCGGAAGAGC
rnacentral:misc_RNA from 1 species